rnacentral:rRNA from 2 species
UACGUAGGAGGCGAGCGUUAUCCGGAUUUAUUGGGCGUAAAGAGCGCGUAGGCGGCCUAUUAAGUCGGUUGUGAAAUCUCUCGGCUUAACUGGGAGGGGUCAACCGAAACUGGUGGGCUUGAGGACAGCAGAGGGAAGUGGAAUUCCCGGUGUAGUGGUGAAAUGCGUAGAUAUCGGGAGGAACACCAGUGGCGAAGGCGGCUUCCUGGGCUGUUCCUGACGCUGAGGCGCGAAAGCGUGGGUAGCAAACAGG